CUAAUACAUGCAAGUCGAGCGAACUGAUUAGAAGCUUGCUUCUAUGACGUUAGCGGCGGACGGGUGAGUAACACGUGGGCAACCUGCCUGUAAGACUGGGAUAACUUCGGGAAACCGAAGCUAAUACCGGAUAGGAUCUUCUCCUUCAUGGGAGAUGAUUGAAAGAUGGUUUCGGCUAUCACUUACAGAUGGGCCCGCGGUGCAUUAGCUAGUUGGUGAGGUAACGGCUCACCAAGGCAACGAUGCAUAGCCGACCUGAGAGGGUGAUCGGCCACACUGGGACUGAGACACGGCCCAGACUCCUACGGGAGGCAGCAGUAGGGAAUCUUCCGCAAUGGACGAAAGUCUGACGGAGCAACGCCGCGUGAGUGAUGAAGGCUUUCGGGUCGUAAAACUCUGUUGUUAGGGAAGAACAAGUACAAGAGUAACUGCUUGUACCUUGACGGUACCUAACCAGAAAGCCACGGCUAACUACGUGCCAGCAGCCGCGGUAAUACGUAGGUGGCAAGCGUUAUCCGGAAUUAUUGGGCGUAAAGCGCGCGCAGGCGGUUUCUUAAGUCUGAUGUGAAAGCCCACGGCUCAACCGUGGAGGGUCAUUGGAAACUGGGGAACUUGAGUGCAGAAGAGAAAAGCGGAAUUCCACGUGUAGCGGUGAAAUGCGUAGAGAUGUGGAGGAACACCAGUGGCGAAGGCGGCUUUUUGGUCUGUAACUGACGCUGAGGCGC
rnacentral:rRNA from 2 species